rnacentral:rRNA from 1 species
CCCUUAGAUGUUCUGGGCCGCACGCGCGCUACACUGUUCGACGCAGCGAGUCUUAACCUUGACCGAAAGGUUUGGGUAAUCUUCAGCAAAGUCGAACGUGAUGGGGAUCGAUCAUUGCAAUUAUUGAUCGUGAACGAGGAAUUCCUAGUAAGUGCAAGUCACCAGCUUGCGCUGAUUACGUCCCUGCCCUUUGUACACACCGCCCGUCGCUACUACCGAUUGAAUGGUUUAGUGAGAUCUCUGGAUUGACGCUGGCUAGGGGGCGACCCUUGGCCAGGCUGUCGAGAAACUGCUCAAACUUGAUCAUUUAGAGGAAGUAAAAGUCGUAACA